UCAACAGGACGCAGGGAAGUUUACGUUACGCAAUGUUUUGCUUUCUUCUACAAACUUUUCUCAAAACUGAAAAAGUACAACAUGGCUACUAAGAGUGGAAAAACUAAAUCGAAGUCCAAGUAUAACAAUUUGGAUGAGAUUGUUGCAGAAAUUGACUGGGAGAGAGAACUAGUGGAAUGGAUGAGGUGUUUGAGUGAGCUGUUUUCUUUCCAGGGUGCAAGAAAGAUUUUUGGAAGGAAAAUAUACUUUUAGAUCAUCUGACCCCUCUGCUGUCUCUGGCUCCAUACCCCCGCCCGGCCAUUUAAAGUUGUGAAGACACCCAGCUCCACCAACACCCGUUGGACAACAAAGUGCCUAGAACAACAACAAAACUGCAAUCAUGACCGACUGUGCCUGGUCCCUUAGCUCAGUGGUUCUCUCCCUUUUUUGGUUACUUUACCCCCUUUCACAUGACUAAUACAAUACUACUAUAUACUCUCUCACAUGACUGUACCCUUGGGGAUUAAUAAAGUACUACUAUAUACUACUCCGUUAUGUCAAUCUAACCAUUAGACAUACAGUACCAGUCCAAAGUCUGGACACACCUACUCAUCCCAAGGUUUUUCUUUAUUUUUGACUUUUUUUCUACAUUGUAGAAAAAUAAUGAAGACAUCAAAACUAUGAAAUGACACAUAUGUAGUAACCCAAAAAAGUGUUAAACAAGUGCAGUCACAAAAACCAUCAAGCGCUAUGAUGAAACUGGCUCUCAUGAGGUCCGCCACAGGGAAGAAAGACCCAGAGUUGCCUCAUUAGAGUUUAUCUUAGAGUUUAACUGCACAUCAGAUUGCAGCCCAAAUAAAUGCCUCACAGAGUUCAAGAAACAGACACAUCUCAACAUCAACUGGUCAGUGGAGACUGCGUGAAUCAGGCCUUCAUGAAUUAAUUGCCGCAAAGAAACCACUACUAACCACUACAUUGACUCUGUACCGGUACCCACUGUAUAUAGACUCACUAUUGUUAUUUUACUGCUGCUGUUGAAUUAUUUGUUACUUUUAUUAUAAUUUUUUUAAACUUAUGUUUUCUUUUUUUUCAUAACUUUUAACUUAAAACAUUGUUGGUUCAGGGCUUGUAAGUAAGCAUUUCACUGUAAGGUCUACACCUGUUCUAUUCGGUGCAUGUGACAAAUACAAAUUGCUUAGAUUUUACUUGGGCCAAGAAAAACGAGCAAUGGACAUUAGACCAGUAGAAAUCUGUCCUUUGGUCUGAUGAGUACAAAUUUGAGAUUUUUGGUUCCAACCGCCAUGUCUUUGUGAGACGUGGAGUAGGUUAAUAGAUGGAUAGAUGAUGUGGUUCCCACCGUGAAGCAUGGAAGAGGUGGUGUGAUGGUGUGGAGGUGUUUUGCUGGUGACACUGUCUGUGAUUUAUUUCGAAUUCAAGGCACAGUUAAUCAGCAUGGCUACCACAGCAUUCUGCAGCGAUACACCAUCCCAUUCGGUAUGUGCUUAGUGGGACUAUAAUUUAUUUUUCAACAGGACAAUGACCCAACACACCUCCAGGCUGUGUAAAGGCUAUUUGACCAAGAAUGAUAGUGAUGGAGUGCUACACCAGAUGACCCGGCCACCACAAUCACCCGACCUCAACCCAUUUGAGAUGGUUUGGGAUGAGUUGGACUGCAGAGUGAAGGAAAAGCAGCCAACAAAUGUGGGAACUUCUUCAAGACUUUUGGAAAAGCAUUCCAGGUGAAGCUGGUUGAGAGAAUGCCAAGAGUGUGCUAAGCUGUCAUCAAGGCAAAGGGAGGCCACUUUGAAGAAUAUAGAAUACAUUUUGAUUUGUUUAACACUUUUUUGUCUACUAAAUGAUUCCGUAUGUGUUAAUUCAUUGUUUUGAUGUCUUCACUAUUAUUUUACAAUAAUUCUACACAUCAUCACACCACCUCCUCCAUGCUUCACAGUGGGAAACCCAUAUGCGAAGAUCAUCCAUUCACCUACUCUUCACACAGCUGAUUAAAUUGCUGAUCCUGUUGCUGACACUGGGCCUCAAGUGUCUCUAGGUAUGUGGCCUCGGUCACACAUGAAGUUCAAGUAUUUGCUGGUUGUGCUCGCAGUGUGUUUUCUCUUCCUUGGGGAUAUAUAUAGGCAUAGGUAAAUAGAUGUACAGGAAUGAUAAGGUACAGGGGAAAUAUAUAGGCUGAAGUAAUGUAAUGUACAGUACAGGAAUGUUAAGAUACACAGAAAAUAUAUAGGCAGAAGUAAUGACAUGUACAGUACAGGAAUGAUAAGGUACAGACUCCAAAGGAAACCCGAGGGCAGCCAGUGUGAAUGCAGCUUUGUCUUCCAACCAUGUAUUGUCUCAUUAUAUUGAUUAAAUAUAAUCCAGCAAAGGCCAGUGUUGGGCCAACCAGAUCUACCAACCAGAUACACAAGUGAUGCAAAUAAUAAA